rnacentral:lncRNA from 1 species
UGUUCGAGGCGGGUGUUCUGUGAGUUUGUUUAUGUCCAAGAGGAGAACAAAAAUGGCCUGGCUGUGAAUGUCAGAUGAGCUUAUAAAAAUAUUGAAGUUUAGUUGUGAACAUCAGAUUAGUUUGGAUAUCAGAGGUUGUUUUUUUUCUUUUUCAGAGGUCAUUAUUCUUAAUCAUCUCAAAUAUUAAAGAGUAAAACAGAUCUUUUUGUCUGAAGCCAAGGCUCAUCCAAGGGAGCAUAACCUUGUUCGGGGUGGGGUCUUAACUGCUGAGUCAUAGGAAACAAUUAAAGCAAAGAAACCUCACAAGCAGGUGGCCAACACUUUGUGAGUAUAUCAGAUUCUUAUUCCACAUAAUCUUCAAUAGAAUAAAAGAGAAAGAAACAGAUCUUCCUGAUUUGGGCCAAGAACACUCAAGAGGCACACUCACAGAAUUGCAUUAGAACGGAGAGGCGAUAGUUGUGAACUCAAAACCUGGCUUAUAGAGCAACACUUGCCAUUGUCACACAACUGGUUAGUGUCAGAUUUAGGACUAGAACUCAGGCCUCUGACCCCCAGUUCGGUGCUAUUAAAUCCCCAGUGCCUAGCACAUGGCCUGGUACACAGCAGGCAUCCAGGGAAGGGUUACUGAAUGGAUCAAUGAAUUCAGCACAGAUAUUUAGUUUGGAAAUGGAUUGGCCAAAGGUGACAGUGAAAUCGGUCAUCAUUUAACUGACUGAAUAUGACUGGCCUCCCGACUUGCCCUGCCCCUGCCUGCCAUUCUCAGCUUAGCCCUUCUGCCCAAGACGCUUAGUCUUCAAAAGGAAGCAUAGGCUCAGGUAGUUCCUGUUUCUUCUACAGCCUCUGAUCUGUGUCUGCGGCAGACCGAAGUUGCUUGUAUUGGUUCUCCAGCAAUAGGUCUCAGCAAUACUCAGGAACCAACGAAAACCCUUUGAAGAGUCCUUUAUGUAGAGAGUUCAUUUUUCUGCCUCAAACAAGCAGUGAAGUGCUGGAAUGCUACAUGGCUUGUGCAAGGACUGAAAAUUUGGUGAAGGAGGAGGUGCUAAUGACAUUUAGAAGACGCCACCAUGAGCGCCACCACCAUUUUAUUCAUACCUAUCAAUUGGCAAAACAGCAAAACAGGUAUCCGCACUCCUAUUUACUGGGAUUAUGAAA